UGUCCUAGUGGUUCCCAGCAGACUGAAGGCUUCCAUAUGGCCUUGCAUGCAGCCACCGCUGUCAUUUCCAUGUUACGAAAGGAGGCUGGAAACACAUUGACACAAGGCUUGGGACUCAUGUCUAUGCUCAGAUGGCAGAUGGGGAAAGCUCUGUGCACUUCAAGGAAGAGAGGGUAUUCAAGGACAUCUUCCCUUUGGAUUGAGGCUCUGUUGGGAGAGGUGACAAAGGCAGCAGUGAUGAGGGAAAAGAGGAACUUCCUGAAGGCAAAAUGCAAAUCACCUGGAAACCCUGACUUCAGCCUUUUCAUAUCUCCAUUUGACCUCUGCCACAAACCAGCUGAAGCUUGGGGAUGACCAACUUCAUCUUUCCAUGGGUAGAAAAUCUACCUCCCUUCAACUUUCAUCUGAAGCAUUUAUACAGUAAAAUUGUGUUGACUGCCUCUGCAGCACUUCUCUGCUUCUGUAAUGGGAUAACUGCAAACAAAGGUAAUGUGGCUUUAAUUUCAUCUUGUUUCUAGUUUGCUGGCAGGUAUGGGAGAUAGGUUUAAUAAGACAAGUUGGAAUUUCUUGUAGCUGUUGUAAGGACUUAUCAGCUGUGGGUGAAUGGUGCAACCUGCAUUCAGGAACUGGCUCAGAGUUUUUCAUUCCUUGUGUUUUGUCCAUGGUGUUUUACCCCAAAACGUUUUUCCCAGCUGUGAUGGCACUGACAUUUCUCUGUACUGACUUCACUCUCCUUGCUUGGGAAGGGGAGGUGGGGUGGAUGCAGAACUAUGGUAGCUAUUCAGUUUCUCUGACAUCUUUUUUUUUUCUCCUGUAUUGUUCAAAAUAGUCAGUAAUACAUUCAGCCCUUCAGCCACCCAGCGAGCAUCAGCUCACUCUAUAGCAUUCAGAUGCUUGAUUCUUUACACAGUUUUCAUACCUGGCUUAUAGCCACAUUCUUCACCUUGUGGAAAUCUCAUCUGGUGUGAUUUUUAUCUGAGUGGGAAAAUGUGUUUGUUUGCUGAGCAGCCUCUUCUGCUGCUUUCCUUCAGUUUUUUGCUUCUUAUGGUCCAGCCCCUGACUUUCCUAUCAGGUGGGACUGCAGCAGCUGAAUCUGGCUGGAUUCACACAUUAAAGAAUUCGCUGUGUGUGGAAAUAAUGUUAAUGGCCAUGAAAUUGAAAGGUACGCAUUUGCUUCUGCUGAGAAUGGGGCUCUCAUUAAACCACUAAAUAUUGUGUUAUUAUUUCUUAUGUAUGUUUGGAUAGCCACAAAUGAUUUUAUAUUAAUACUAGAAAAGUGAGGAGUUUUUACUUAUGUCAAUGCCUUGUGGCUCAAUUAUAUGAUAACAAAUUCCAUCUGUCUGCUUAAUUAAUAAUCAGAGUGCAGAGAAGAGGGCUGCCCAGCAGUAGAGAGCAUGACAUUUGACUCGGCACAUUCAAAAUCAAGAUCAAAGGUGAACAAUGUUACUUAAAAAUGUAGUUGCUGCUUGGCACCAGGCAGAUUUGGGUCCUCUGACUGCUGAGGAGGUGCAGGCUGUGUGCACAAGGCACUUGAGGCUGCUGGGUGAACCUUAAAUGUUUCAUGACUUCUCUCACCUUAUAGAAGCUGUGAUGCAAACCUGUCACAGGAGCACAC